AACGAACGCUGGCGGCAGGCCUAACACAUGCAAGUCGAGCGCACCCUUCGGGGUUAGCGGCGGACGGGUGAGUAACGCGUGGGAACGUUCCCUUCUCUGCGGAAUAUCCUCUGGAAACUGAUAGUAAUACCGCAUACGCCCUUUUGGGGAAAGAUUUAUCGGAGAAGGAUCGUCCCGCGUUGGAUUAGGUAGUUGUUGGGGUAAUGGCCCACCAAGCCGACGAUCCAUAGCUGGUUUGAGAGGAUGAUCAGCCACACUGGGACUGAGACACGGCCCAGACUACUACGGGAGGGAGCAGUGGGGAAUCUUAGACAAUGGGGGCAACCCUGAUCUAGCCAUGCCGCGUGAGUGAUGAAGGCCUUAGGGUUGUAAAGCUCUUUCAGCUGGGAAGAUAAUGACGGUACCAGCAGAAGAAGCCCCGGCUAACUCCGUG
rnacentral:rRNA from 1 species